rnacentral:rRNA from 1 species
GCCCAGAUGGGAUUAGCUUGUUGGUGAGGUAACGGCUCACCAAGGCGACGAUCCCUAGCUGGUCUGAGAGGAUGACCAGCCACACUGGAACUGAGACACGGUCCAGACUCCUACGGGAGGCAGCAGUGGGGAAUAUUGCACAAUGGGCGCAAGCCUGAUGCAGCCAUGCCGCGUGUAUGAAGAAGGCCUUCGGGUUGUAAAGUACUUUCAGCGGGGAGGAAGGUGUUGUGGUUAAUAACCACAGCAAUUGACGUUACCCGCAGAAGAAGCACCGGCUAACUCCGUGCCAGCAGCCGCGGUAAUACGGAGGGUGCAAGCGUUAAUCGGAAUUACUGGGCGUAAAGCGCACGCAGGCGGUCUGUCAAGUCGGAUGUGAAAUCCCCGGGCUCAACCUGGGAACUGCAUUCGAAACUGGCAGGC